UCUUUUGUAGCUGAGUUGGUAAAGGAUCUGCCUGCAAUGCAGGAGACCUGGGUUCAAUCCCUGGGAUGGGAA
rnacentral:tRNA from 1 species